rnacentral:tRNA from 1 species
GGCCUGUUCGUCUAUCGGCUAGGACGCGGCCCUCUCAAGGCUGAAAGACGGGUUCGAUUCCCGUACGGGCCGCCA